rnacentral:rRNA from 1 species
AGAGUUUGAUCAUGGCUCAGGACGAACGCUGGCGGCGUGCCUAAUACAUGCAAGUCGAGCGGACCGAAAGGAGAGCUCGCUCUCCUUUCGGUCAGCGGCGGACGGGUGAGUAACACGUGGGUAACCUGCCUGUAAGACCGGGAUAACUCGCGGAAACGCGAGCUAAUACCGGAUAGGUCCCGUGGCCGCAUGGCGACGGGAGGAAAGAUGGCGCGAGCUAUCGCUUACAGAUGGGCCCGCGGCGCAUUAGCUAGUUGGUGGGGUAACGGCCCACCAAGGCGACGAUGCGUAGCCGACCUGAGAGGGUGAUCGGCCACAUUGGGACUGAGACACGGCCCAAACUCCUACGGGAGGCAGCAGUAGGGAAUCUUCCGCAAUGGGCGAAAGCCUGACGGAGCAACGCCGCGUGAGCGAAGAAGGCCUUCGGGUCGUAAAGCUCUGUUGUCAGGGAAGAACAAGUACCGGAGUAACUGCCGGUACCUUGACGGUACCUGACCAGAAAGCCCCGGCUAACUACGUGCCAGCAGCCGCGGUAAUACGUAGGGGGCGAGCGUUGUCCGGAAUCAUUGGGCGUAAAGCGCGCGCAGGCGGUCCCUUAAGUCUGAUGUGAAAUCUUGCGGCUCAACCGCAAGAGGUCAUUGGAAACUGGGGGACUUGAGUGCAGGAGAGGGAAGCGGAAUUCCAUGUGUAGCGGUGAAAUGCGUAGAGAUAUGGAGGAACACCAGUGGCGAAGGCGGCUUCCUGGCCUGUAACUGACGCUCAGGCGCGAAAGCGUGGGGAGCAAACAGGAUUAGAUACCCUGGUAGUCCACGCCGUAAACGAUGAGUGCUAGUGUUGGAGGGGUUUACCCUUCAGUGCUG